AGCAGCCGCGGUAAUUCCAGCUCCAAUAGCGUAUAUUAAAGUUGUUGCAGUUAAAAAGCUCGUAGUUGAAUUUCGGAAUCUGUCCGUCGGUCGGGCUUCACUGUCCGUACUGGCGUGAUGGGUUUCUACCUUCUGAAUAACCGGCAUGUCAUUAAUUUGGUGCGCCGGGGAAGCAGAACUAUUACCUUGAAAAAAUUAGAGUGCUUAAAGCAGGCUAUCGCCUGAAUAGAUUAGCAUGGAAUAAUAAAAUAGGACGGCAUGGUUCUAUUUUGUUGGUUUCUAGGAUCACCGUAAUGAUUAAUAGGGAUAGUUGGGGGCAUUAGUAUUCAAUUGUCAGAGGUGAAAUUCUUGGAUUUAUUGAAGACUAACUUCUGCGAAAGCAUUUGCCAAGGAUGUUUUCAUUAAUCAAGAACGAAAGUUAGGGGAUCGAAGACGAUCAGAUACCGUCGU
rnacentral:rRNA from 1 species